rnacentral:rRNA from 1 species
UGCGCAGGCGGCUUUGCAAGACAGAUGUGAAAUCCCCGGGCUCAACCUGGGAACUGCAUUUGUGACUGCAUGGCUGGAGUGCGGCAGAGGGGGAUGGAAUUCCGCGUGUAGCAGUGAAAUGCGUAGAUAUGCGGAGGAACACCGAUGGCGAAGGCAAUCCCCUGGGCCUGCACUGACGCUCAUGCACGAAAGCUAUGGGAGCGAAAGGGAUUAGAUACCCCUGUA